CUCAGCAGCGGCCCCCCUCGAGCGCCCCGACUGCGGCCUGGAGGCCUCUGCCCGCAGCACGAGGGCCCUCCCGGCCUCCCCGAACGAGGGCGACCCACCCGAAGCCACACAGCCUCGGAGGUGGCAGCCCUUCACCUUGCCGGGCCCUGUGGUGACAAGGUUCCGAGGCCCGGCUGCCUCAGGGCGAGGGCAUUGCCCGGACAGACCCCAAGGGGCGGGGCCCGCGCCCAGAGCCGCCUCCGGGCCGGGCAGGUGGUGACCAGCCGAGCUGGGCCCUGGGCGAGGCGAGGGCGGCGGCCGCAGGAGCUCCCAGGGGACAGGCCGCCCCCGCCCCGCGACGCCAGGCAGGAAGGGCUUCCGGGAGCAGCAGCUGUGGACACCCCAAAGAGGAGUGGGCCGCAGCCCAGGUGCACCCGGAGGGGAGAGCAUCCCGGGCCGCGGGAAGAUGCCGAACGCCAGGUGUGGGAAGCGUCGCAGUGGGUUCUGGAAGCUGCCCAGCAGAGCCCCGGGCAGGGCCAGCACUUGGAUCCUAGGAUCUGGGUGUCCCGCCUGGACCCACCCGAACCCCAGGAGCCGCAGGGGACCGGUCCUCCGGAGGGCACCCACCCCUGCUCUGGGCGUGCAUCACAGGGAUCCUUAAUCGGCACAGAAGCCUCCGUGCAACAGUUUGCCCAGCUCAGUGGUGACGCUCCUUCUUCGGUCUCCCCCGCAUCCUUCAGGAAGCCGUAGACCAGAACAAGCUACAUUCUCCGGGCUCCUGGUUAUUUGAGUAGUCAGUCACUAUUGACUGGAAGAGCAGUGAAUGAAACAGAAGUUCUGAUGGAGUCUACACUCCAGCUGGAGACGGGUCACAAGCCCAAUUCACCAGAUGGCAUAAGACCAUG
rnacentral:lncRNA from 12 species